GAAAAUGAAAUCAAUAUUUGAUGUUUCAUUUACAAUGAAAAUUAGUAAAAUUACCAUUUUUU
rnacentral:tRNA from 1 species